rnacentral:rRNA from 1 species
CCGUAGCCUCAAAGAGGGGGACAACAGUUGGAAACGACUGCUAAUACCGCAUACGAUCUGACCUCGGCAUCGAGGAUAGAUGAAAGGUGGCCUCUAUUUAUAAGCUAUCACUGAAGGAGGGGAUUGCGUCUGAUUAGCUAGUUGGAGGGGUAACGGCCCACCAAGGCGGUGAUCAGUAGCCGGUCUGAGAGGAUGAACGGCCACAUUGGGACUGAGACACGGCCCAG